rnacentral:rRNA from 1 species
UGGGAUUGCCCUAGUAACGGCGAGUGAAGCGGCAAUAGCUCAAAUUUGAAAUCUGGCUCCCUCUGGGGGUCCGAGUUGUAAUUUGCAGAGGGUGCUUUGGCGUUGGUGGCGGUCUAAGUUCCUUGGAACAGGACAUCGCAGAGGGUGAGAAUCCCGUUUGUGGUCGCCUGCCUUCGCCGUGUAAAGCCCCUUCGACGAGUCGAGUUGUUUGGGAAUGCAGCUCUAAAUGGGAGGUAAAUUUCUUCUAAAGCUAAAUACUGGCCAGAGACCGAUAGCGCACAAGUAGAGUGAUCGAAAGAUGAAAAGCACUUUGGAAAGAGAGUCAAACAGCACGUGAAAUUGUUGAAAGGGAAGCGCUUGCAGCCAGACUUGCCCGUAGUUGCUCACCCAGGCUUUUGCCCGGGGCACUCUUCUGCGGGCAGGCCAGCAUCAGUUUGGGCGGUCGGAUAAAGGCCUCUGUCACGUAUCUUCCUUCGGGAUGACCUUAUAGGGGAGGCGACAUGCGACCAGCCCGGACUGAGGUCCGCGCUUCUGCUAGGAUGCUGGCGUAAUGGCUGUAAGCGGCCCGUCUUGAAACACGGACCAAGGAGUCUAACAUCUAUGCGAGUGUUUGGGUGUCAAGCCCGAGCGCGUAAUGAAAGUGAACGGAGGUGGGAACCCUUUGGGUGCACCAUCGACCGAUCCUGAUGUCUUCGGAUGGAUUUGAGUAAGAGCAUAGCUGUUGGGACCCGAAAGAUGGUGAACUAUGCUUGAAUAGGGUGAAGCCAGAGGAAACUCUGGUGGAGGCUCGCAGCGGUUCUGACGUGCAAAUCGAUCGU